GACGAACGCUGGCGGCGUGCUUAACACAUGCAAGUCGAGCGGUAAGGCCCUUUCGGGGGUACACGAGCGGCGAACGGGUGAGUAACACGUGGGUGACCUGCCUUUAGCUCUGGGAUAAGCCUGGGAAACCGGGUCUAAUACCGGAUAUGACUCCGCGGCGCAUGUUGUGGGGUGGAAAGCCUUGUGCGGCUGGAGAUGGGGCCCGCGGCCUAUCAGCUUGUUGGUGGGGUGAUGGCCUACCAAGGCGACGACGGGUAGCCGGCCUGAGAGGGCGACCGGCCACACUGGGACUGAGACACGGCCCAGACUCCUACGGGAGGCAGCAGUGGGGAAUCUUGCGCAAUGGGCGAAAGCCUGACGCAGCGACGCCGCGUGAGGGAUGACGCCU
rnacentral:rRNA from 1 species